ACUAUAUACACCUGGUAUUACAACAUCAAGGACCUGGUCGACAUCACCAAACAGCCUGUGAGUUACCUGAAAGAGAUUCUGCGUGACAUCGGCAUCUACAACGUGAAGGGAACCCACAAGAACACGUGGGAGCUGAAGCCCGAGUACAGACACUACCAGGGAGGAGAGGAGGAGGAGAAGGAGACCGACGACUAGCCUGGUCUGGGACCUCCAGCCUCCUAGAGAGCUCACCACUAGGAGGACGACUAGCCUGGUCUGGGACCUCCAGCCUCCUAGAGAGCUCACCACUAGGAGGACGACUAGCCUGGUCUGGGACCUCCAGCCUCCUAGAGAGCUCACCACUAGGAGAAGGACGACUAGCCUGGUCUGGGCCCUCCCUAGAGAGCAUCGUUUUGGUUUUUAUAGACGCAGAGCAAUAAAGUUGUGAAUCUGAUGUGUUGAGUUGGCCAGUUAGGACCCCGGUCCUAUACUUCAUGUCGGUCAAGUCACACCCUAUUCCCUAUAUAGUGCACUACUUUAAACCAGGACCCUGGUCAAAUUUAGUGUACUAUUUAGGGAAUAGGGUGCCACUUUGGGGACACGUUUGAAGGAUUCCUACUAUUCUGAACAGUGAGAUGCUUUAGGUUCAUCUCACCUGGGCCACUAUGUAUUCCUGUGUGUUUGUGGGAUCUGACCGAUCCUUCGGAAGUGUUCGGUUUACAGACACGGCUACCAAGGAUCAAUACGUACAAGUUGUUUAUAAAAAUAUGAUUUUAACGACUUUUGGAAUUAAAAUAAAAAUGUUUUUGUAAAAAAAAAAAAAAAA